ensembl:misc_RNA 7SK 7SK RNA
GGAUGUGAGGGCAACCUGGCUGUGACAUCUCUCACCCCGUUGAUCACCAGGGUUGAUCCGGCUGAUCUGGGUGGCUAGGCUGGUGUCUCCUUCCUCCCUCACUGCUUCAUGUAUGUCCCUCCCAAAGCUGCACACUCAAGUCGAAGAGAACGACCAUCCCCAAUAGAGGAGGACUAAUCUUCGGUCAAGGGUAUAUAAGUAGCUGCGUUCCCCUGCUAGAACCUCCAAACAAGCUCUCAAGGUCCCAGGUAGCUAGGAUUACAGGCACACGCCAUCAUGCUUCACUAUCAUUCUCUUCUCAAUUAAAGGUAAUACUGUU